rnacentral:lncRNA from 1 species
ACACUUUUCGUAAAUCCCCAAAUUAGAAGUUGAUGUGGCACUGUUUAAGUUGCCGGAAAUAUGACAUAGAAUUGCUGGCGAGUGAAUAAAACGACGUCAUUUAAUUGGGUAAAACGACAUCGUUUGAACCCAAAUACAAACCGCGUUCGGCUCCUUGCCCGAUCUCCUAGACCUGGACUCACUGGAAAAUCAACUCUCCGGCGAUAUCCCGCCGAAGCUGGGGCAGCUGAAGCUCACCCUCUCAUCAAACCGAGAAGCCAGAAAAUUACCCGACGAAUUCGACAACAUGGCCAACGCAAACAGCUUCCUAAACAAUCUGAAGCUCUGUGCAAAAAAUUCAAUCUCCAAUCUCCUCAGAAAUCUUUGGCGAACAAUAGCGACAAGGUCAGACGCCAUCGUUGUUUCCUCUACUUCACUCUAGGACACCAACAACACCAACGACCACCGCCGCUCAUUUCCUAGUGAUGGCGCCGCCCCCUGACUCAGAAACCCUAGACCCCCAAUCACCGCCCUCAGUCUCGGUCUCCGUCGACUUCAAUGGGGGAUGGGGACCUUGGCUGCCAUAUCUUCUCCACCUGUUCUCAUUUCCCCUCUUCACCUUCUCGUCCAAAGCUUUCGAAAAAUGUCAGAUUUGAUUUUUCCGUCACCAAUUGUAGAGGAGUUGCCACUUCGCUGUCACCGAGAACCUUGCCAUAUCAACUCAACAGAGAUUCGCUGAAAAUGUUCUUCUCCCCUUAGAUUUGGGGAUGAUUCUCCAAAUGGGGAGAAAUUGGGAGGGGUGACUCUUGAUUUGGGGGAUUUUAAAUAGUUGGUGGAGCAACAACAGCAGGUGGUGUCAGUCUUUCAAUUAGGGCCGCCGUGGCGGAGAUGAAAAAGCUGCCGGCGAGAUCUGAAAGUUUGGAGGAGGCCGUCGGACUUGGAGGAGGGAAAGGGAAGCUGCCGGUGAAAUCUAAAAGUAGUCCUUCCACAUAUUUACUUUUGUUUUUUGUUUUCCAGGGCUCAAUUUCUGAGUCCAAAUAGGCGCCAUGUCAGUUCGAUACUACCACGUAGAUGUCAUGUCAGCUCGGUACUCACUGGAGCUCAAAAGUGUGAAAAAAUUGAACGAUGUUUUAAAUUGAG